CCUUGCCUACCCCUGCGGACGAAGAGAGGUGAAGCGGUAACCCACUUUUUGGAUCGGUCGUGAGGAGGGCAGGGGACGUCGGUAGCGGCGGUCACGCGAGGGCAGUGGGAGAGGAGGGUAAGGAGAGGGCAGUGGUUCGAGCGGCGGCAGCGACGAGAGGGUAGUAGGCGGCAGCCACCACGUCCUGCGGCGAGCGCAGCACCCUAAGCCGUCGUCCUCCUCCUCGUGGGCGUGGAGCAGUCGGCGGCGGCUACGCUCCUCCCUCUGGCACCUACCUCUAGUGCGCCAGGCGGCGGCGGCACCCUACUCCUCGUGGUCUCCUAGAUGAAAGGAGAACCGUGGUUUAGGUUCAUGUGUUGGGGAGGGCGGCGGCGAAAGAAGGAGGAGCGAGGGGGUGGGGUUUGGUGGGCGGCGGAUGCGGCCGCUGGAGCGGCGGCACGCGGCAGGAGGCGGGAGGUGGGUGACAGCGGCUGGGGUCGGAGAGUGGGAUAGAGGGAUGGGCUCCGGGGUUUAGUUCGUCGUCCAGUCCCCGCCGAUCUAGGUGGUGCCGGCGGCGCCGCGCAGGCCAGGGCGCUGUCUCCACGAGCUCCCGCCGGCGCAGACGCGGUCCUCUUCUCCUGCACCGCCGGUGACGGCAGCAAGAGCCGGAGAGCCCGCUGGUGCUCCAAGGAGACGAGGCUGGGACACUUCCGGAGCUCCUCCACCUACUCCUGGACUCUAAAUUUAGAACCCGGGGUUGUUCGAGGUUCCUGUGGUUCAAAGAAGGAAGGAACGAACCCAGGCAGGUUGCGUGGUCCCCAAAAGUUCCGCCAAAACACAUCUUGUCGGUGCCUCGUCUUUGUUGCUUGUACGAUGAAAUCGUUGUCGCACCGUGAAAACGAACACAGAACAAUAGAAAAACUUUACCACUUCGACUGUUACUAUCGGACAUAGUGACUACCGGAAGGUAACCGCCUCACGAAUCUACCACCAAUACACUUCCUACAACAGAAGAUGUUCGUCGUUCUUUUUAACAACAAGUUUUUGUAUAGAUUUCCGGUUGUACUUAGUAGUUCUGACAGUUGACUUUGACCUGGUAUGACAAGGUCCAGUUCCAUACAUAAAUGUAAAAAACGAAAGUCGUUCUACUCCUAUUACACUGACAAACACACGCGCGCACGAUAUAAUAUGUAAAAGCGAAAGUAGUUCUACUCCUAUGACACUCAUAAACACACGCACGCACGAUAUACUAUGUAAAAACGAAAGUAGUUCUACUCCUAUGACACUUACAAACACCCACGAAAUCACCAAGAUCCAAUAACAUCAUCAUAUUGAUCCGAAGCAAAUGUGUUUUAGGUUUAUCUUAAAUCAAACCUCGACCAGUUCUGUACCACAUCAUAAUAUUGGAUAAUUAAACCAACCUGACCAGUUCACAAGAUAAUUAAGAACAACGUCAUAAGUAAGACAUCAUACAUGAUCGAGAAUCUGUUCUAUUAACAAAUCGGGGACUAAAGAAUCGAUGACCAACCAGGACAUUUCGAUGUAGGAACGAAAGGCUAAUCACAAUAAACUUAGAUAUCGUCACCUAUACGCAUCUUCUAGGCGAUUAAACCCAAAAAAGGGAAAUAAAUAGUACACUACCGGUAACAGCCUCGAAACGGCGGAAGUAGAGCUGAGGCAGCCCCAAGGUCCAAGUGUGAAGUGGCGAGAGGGGGACACCGGGCCACUAAACACCGCCGACGCCCCAGAAGGGACGAAACCACCACCGGCCGUCCGCAAACGGGCCGGUCUAGACCGCGCCACGUCCUGGACACCACGUACCGGACCAAAUACCCCCGCCCCCUGUGUACCCAGGAACCAGGCCGUCGCAGCCGUCCUGCGACACGCGGGCAGACGAAAGAACGAUCUAUGCACAAAUCCUUUUUAGAUGUUAUGAGGAUUUUCCAAAUAUGUAGUUAACGUUGCCCAAAAUCCUUACGUAGUGAUAUAACUAAAACCAAAUAUGUACUUGCCGUCUCUCAAAAUAUUUACAUAGUAAUAUAACAAAACCCAAAUAUAUACUUAACGUUUUACAAAAUCGGUACACUUUUAGUCUCGAGUCCACCGUCCACUAAAAAAAAGAACGAAGAUUACCAUCCUACUACAAGACAUAUGAUUUUUCCUGAGCACGUGUGAACGAAACGAGGAAUCACAAAUACUAGUCAACGGUUUGUAAUAUUAUCCUAUAUGUGUAACGAAGUUUUGACUCAUACAAGGAACCACUACCACAUAAAUAAUACUUUUAUUUAUCCUGACGAAUGGGUACCACUACACCAUAACGAUGAGCUAAUGAAUGGGACAAAGACACUGUUUCCGGGCACUAUCUAUACCAAUCUGUGUAUAACUCGCAGGUUAAAGUAUUUAUAACUCGUAUGUCAAAGUUAAAGUUGAAUUUGUACUCUAACAGAACGACAGCUCAACACAAGUCAAGAAAGGUACAUCUUGAAUGAUCUUUAAGAACGUAUGUAGGAUUUGUUUAUUUCUCGACGUACGUAAAUUUAAUUCGUCAAAGUUUCUUUCUUAAUAAAGUUCAAUAAAACAAACCUCUACUCAACGGAAAAGAUGUG
rnacentral:rRNA from 1 species